AAAGGAAUAGACGGGGGCCCGCACAAGCAGCGGAGCGUGUGGUUUAAUUCGAUGCAACGCGAAGAACCUUACCAGGGUUUGACAUGCUUGAAGUAGAAACUCGAAAGAGGGACGACCAGUAUCCAGCCUGGAACUUGCACAGGUGCUGCAUGGCUGUCGUCAGCUCGUGCCGUGAGGUGUUAGGUUAAGUCCUGCAACGAGCGCAACCCUCGUCGCUAGUUAAUUUCUCUAGCGAGACUGCCCGUAUAACGUGGAGGAAGGUGGGGAUGACGUCAAGUCAGCAUGGCCCUUACAUCCUGGGCUACACACACGCUACAAUGGGUGAUACAACAGGUUGCGAUAGAGUGAUCUGGAGCCAAUCCAAAAAAUCAUCCUCAGUUCGGAUUGUAGGCUGAAACUGCCUGCAUGAAGUUGGAGUUGCUAGUAACCGCAGGUCAGCACACUGCGGUGAAUACGUUCUCGGGCCUUGUACACACCGCCCGU
rnacentral:rRNA from 1 species